UAAUAAUGGGUAAAGUUACUUCGUAUAACCCCACUUAUAGGGUGUGGGGGUCUCUACCAGAAUCCGUAAAAUUCUGAUUACGAAGAGUUGAGUGAUUGAU
rnacentral:ncRNA from 17 species